GAGCCGCUAGCUCAGCUGGUAGAGCACCGGUCUUUUAAACCGGUGGUCCCGGGUUCGACCCCGGGACGUGCUCACCA
rnacentral:tRNA from 1 species